CCUACGGGAGGCAGCAGUGAGGAAUAUUGGUCAAUGGACGAGCGUCUGAACCAGCCAAGUAGCGUGAAGGAUGACUGCCCUAUGGGUUGUAAACUUCUUUUAUAAAGGAAUAAAACGAGGCACGUGUGCCUUUUUGCAUGUACUUUAUGAAUAAGGAUCGGCUAACUCCGUGCCAGCAGCCGCGGUAAUACGGAGGAUCCGAGCGUUAUCCGGAUUUAUUGGGUUUAACGGGAGCGUAGAUGGGUUGUUAAGUCAGUUGUGAAAGUUUGCGGCUCAACCGUAAAAUUGCAAUUGAUACUGGCAGUCGUGAGUACAGUUGAGGUAGGCGGAAUUCGUGGUGUAGCGGUGAAAUGCUUAGAUAUCACGAAGAACCCCGAUUGCGAAGGCAGCUUACUAAACUGUGACUGACAUUGAUGCUCGAAAGUGUGGGUAUCAAACAGGAUUAGAUACCCUGGUAGUC
rnacentral:rRNA from 1 species